rnacentral:rRNA from 1 species
GCAUAUCAAUAAGCGGAGGAAAAGAAACCAACAGGGAUUGCCUCAGUAACGGCGAGUGAAGCGGCAAGAGCUCAAAUUUGAAAGCUGGCUCCUUCGGGGUCCGCAUUGUAAUUUGCAGAGGAUGCUUCGGGAGUGGCCCCCAUCUAAGUGCCCUGGAACGGGCCGUCAUAGAGGGUGAGAAUCCCGUCUGGGAUGGGGUGUCCACGCCCGUGUGAAGCUCCUUCGACGAGUCGAGUUGUUUGGGAAUGCAGCUCUAAAUGGGUGGUAAAUUUCAUCUAAAGCUAAAUACUGGCCGGAGACCGAUAGCGCACAAGUAGAGUGAUCGAAAGAUGAAAAGCACUUUGAAAAGAGAGUUAAACAGCACGUGAAAUUGUUGAAAGGGAAGCGCUUGCGACCAGACUCGCCCACGGGGUUCAGCCGGCAUUCGUGCCGGUGUACUUCCCCGCGGGCGGGCCAGCGUCGGUUUGGGCGGCCGGUCAAAGGCCCUCGGAAUGUAACGCCCCCCGGGGCGUCUUAUAGCCGAGGGUGCCAUGCGGCCAGCCCGGACCGAGGAACGCGCUUCGGCUCGGACGCUGGCAUAAUGGUCGUAAGCGACCCGUCUUGAAACACGGACCAAGGAGUCUAACAUCUACGCGAGUGUUCGGGUGUCAAACCCGUGCGCGCAGUGAAAGCGAACGGAGGUGGGAACCCCUCGGGGUGCACCAUCGACCGAUCCUGAUGUCUUCGGAUGGAUUUGAGUAAGAGCGUAGCUGUUGGGACCCGAAAGAUGGUGAACUAUGCCUGAAUAGGGCGAAGCCAGAGGAAACUCUGGUGGAGGCUCGCAGCGGUUCUGACGUGCAAAUCGAUCGUCAAAUUUGGGUAUAGGGGGCGAAAAGACUAAUCGAACCAUCUAGUAGCUGGUUUCCUGCCGAAG